AUGCUACCGGUAUAGUAUACUAUAACCACGUGUCAAAAUGUUUGAACUUUGAAGUCUAAUGAUGUUAGUCUACAAGAGUGUCAGAUGAGUCUCUGAUCUAACUAGCUGAUAAACUUCAAUAGAAGAAAUAAAAGGACUGUAUCAAAUAAUUAGCGGUGUUAGUGACAAGUGGGUGAUGAUGUGUAAAGCGUUGUUUCACUUGUUUGUUAGUAUGGCUGUAGUUAGGUGGAGUUUUUGGAGUAAUAUGGAGUUGUUAGCGAAGGAAUCAUAAAUAGACUUCAAAAUAGGUUAAUAUAUAUCAGUAAUAAUGCCAGUGAAGUACUACUACCAAUGACUAGUCACCCAAGGACAGAUGUGAAGGGAUCGACUUCUGUACAAUGGGUAAUGUGGAUGCAGUCAGACUACUGGUGGAGGUGAUACUGAUUCAGUCAGUGUAGUCUGAUAAUGGAUCAGCAGAAAUACACAAACUAACUGAUCCUUAUUCUCUGUCUGGUCUGAAGGAGGAAGGUUGUGUUAUGUGGUCACUAGGCACUCAUGACAAUCAUUAGGUCAAGUCUCUUGUAUAUCAUUGACAUUAUGAUGAUCAGUACCUGUUGACUGGUGGAGGGCAUGGGAAUGUCUUUGUGUAUAAUACUAAUUUUUUAGAACAGGUUGCUGGGAGUGAUGCUCAGCCCAUCAAGAGAAGGAUUGAUACUACUACUGAUGAUAUUGAGGAGGUCUCUCAUUACAGUAUUGAGGAUAUGCUAAACAAAGAGCUGAACAAGACAGGAAAUUGGAAGCAGGUGAAGCAAAGAAACAAAAAGUUUGUAGAGAUAUUAUACUGCUACGUAGGAUAUUCACAAAACAUGAGACUGAUACAAGAGGAGUUCAUGAUGGAUCCAUCAAUAUCAGAACAACUCCAGAAACAACUUGCAGAUAAAUUGCAUUUAGUAAGGAGGGAGAUGGCUUGGGAGUCUAAGAAGCAUUCUGUUACUUUAACGAAACUCCAGAAAAAUGGUCUACAGUGUCUCUAAUGCUAUGAUCAUUGCUGCCAUUCAUCCACUGGAAUACUGUAGAAUGUUUAGCUAUAACACUCCAGAUGGUCCCUCUCUCCUACAAACCCUGUCCCUGUCUUCAUUUCAUAAGAUCUUAGUCUCUCUUAAUUUAAUGAAACUCUGUGUCUCCACUAAAACCCACCACAUCAUUGCUGUCAAUUUAACGAUUUAUUUCAUCAUGUUCUCCUCACAUUAUUCUAAAAAUUUCAGUCAAAAGUCGACCAAGAGGGUCCCGCCUACCCAGCGGCUCCAGGACCCGCCCAUCAGCCAAGAGGAUGAGCUAGAGAGAUGAAGGUACGGUGGUCUGACAAGACGAGAAAAAGGAACAAAAUACGUUGGACCUUUUGUCGGCCAUUUUUCCGUUGCUGAGCAAUGUAGUAGACUAAUGUGAAACAUUGAUAGGAUGAAUCUUAAUGAGGGGCGUGGCUUGAUACUAGGUGAAGUUUCUAAACUACCGAAAGAACACGACAAACCAGUCAAACCAAUUUCAGACGACAAGUGGUACAUGCCUAGUGGAGAUGCGUAGCUUGGUAAAGGAGUGGGCAGAGACUGGGAGGAGUCUAGCAAUGUUUGUAUUACUAGUAUGAGAAAAACUAAACGUUGAAUAGAAAACAGGACGACAUGUCAUCAAGCCCCACCCACUCCAGCACUAGUUACCCCAUACAGUGUAUACUCCCUCCAGCUGAAGGUCAUGUGAUCAGUGACUCCGCCCUAUUGUACCCCCACUAUAAUAACGGAUUGGUAAUAGUGUAUUAUGAUAAGAAUGGGAAUGGAAAAAAUGAGGAAUGAAGAACAGGAACCAAAAACUACCAAUUUAAUUGUAAUUUAUAAGGUUUCUUAGAGAAUUAUUCAUUAGCCAAUUUGUUGUUUCGGAACUGGUUGAUCCUGCCCACUAAUGAGGACAAACCAGUUUAUCUGGUUUCUGAUAGUUCAUUAUCAGUUUCAGCAUUCCUUUUAUCACAAGAAGAUUUUGUAGCAAAAAUGUUAAUGUAUGGUAGUGCGUCAGUAGCUGAGGAGGUGUGUCACUUGAACCGCUGGGACCAAUGUUCCCUCCCUCUCAAUGCACUGGAGACUGGACUGGAACUGAGGCAGUUGGACAUAGUGUCAUUCUUCCUUAGGAACAGAGGUGUCACAUACCCUCCAGACAGGUAGUUAUCUGGUACAUAGUACUGUUUACUAUUAUACACGUAGUAAGGACUCUAUUAAUACUACAGUAAUUGACUCUAUUGAUACAGUCUAUUGAUUUAUAGUCAGGCGCACUUUUUGCUUAUUUGGUCUUAAUAGCAGGGCUUGCUUUCACUUACAUACUUAAUGUAGUUAUCAUAGAAUUUAAA